rnacentral:ribozyme from 2 species
CUUCUAACGCUACCUACGCUCUCGAAGGCCAAGAGGGGUACGGCUGGUCCCAAGUCCAGAAUGAAAGAACGCGGAGGGGAAG